rnacentral:rRNA from 1 species
UACGUAGGGGGCUAGCGUUGUCCGGAUUUAUUGGGCGUAAAGAGCGUGUAGGCGGCCAGGUAGGUCCGUUGUGAAAACUCGAGGCUCAACCUCGAGACGUCGGCGGAAACCCUCUGGCUAGAGUCCGGAAGAGGAGAGUGGAAUUCCUGGUGUAGCGGUGAAAUGCGCAGAUAUCAGGAGGAACACCGGUGGCGAAGGCGGGUCUCUGGGCCGGUACUGACGCUGAGACGCGAAAGCGUGGGGAGCGAACAGG